rnacentral:rRNA from 1 species
ACGUGACCCCAGGUCAG